rnacentral:rRNA from 1 species
UACGUAGGGGGCGAGCGUUGUCCGGAAUGACUGGGCGUAAAGGGCGCGUAGGCGGCCUAAUAAGUCUGGAGUGAAAGUCCUGCUUUCAAGGUGGGAAUUGCUUUGGAAACUGUUUGGCUUGAGUGCGGAAGAGGCAAGUGGAAUUCCCAGUGUAGCGGUGAAAUGCGUAGAGAUUGGGAGGAACACCAGUGGCGAAGGCGACUUGCUGGGCCGUAACUGACGCUGAGGCGCGAAAGCGUGGGGAGCGAACAGGAUUAGAUACCCGUGUAGUCCCU